GUGUCAGCAGCCGCGGUAAUACAGAGGUCUCAAGCGUUGUUCGGAUUUAUUGGGCGUAAAGGGUGCGUAGGCGGCGAGGUAAGUCUGGUGUGAAAUCCUGGGGCUCAACCCCAGAAUUGCACUGGAUACUGCUUUGCUAGAGGACUGGAGAGGAGAUUGGAAUUCACGGUGUAGCAGUGAAAUGCGUAGAUAUCGUGAGGAAGACCAGUGGCGAAGGCGAAUCUCUGGACAGUUCCUGACGCUGAGGCACGAAGGCUAGGGGAGCAAACGGGAUUAGAUACCCGCGUAGUCC
rnacentral:rRNA from 1 species